CCUCCUCCUCCUCCUCCCCCACCCCUUCCUCGCCCCCCUCCCCUCCGCCGGCAUCCUUAGACCUCUUCCUACCUCAGUCCUGUCCCCCUCACUGGGCAGCCGCUCCCUUCCGGAGACGGCGAGGGAGGAAGGCCUACCUGAGCAUAGGAGCCUGCAUUCAUAGGAACGUAUCGCGCUCCCCGCCCCCACCCCCAAUUCGGUGCUUACAUAUCCUCUUAGUGUCCCUGAGAUGAGAACCGGAAGUGGGGUUAUUUUAAGCACGCAGUCCAGCCUCUGUGGGGCAGAGCCCGUUCUGUCAAAAAACCCCAAGGAAGAGAGAGAGACUACAAUGCGAUACAUUAAGGCCUCCAUCCCAGGGGUGGUCAGGGUUAGAUACAGAGGUGCAGCCCGCGCCUUCCAAACAAGAGGUGCAGAAUCCAUUACGCGAUGCCCUUUCGGCUGCCCUCGGCUUUUGCCGCCCACCCAGAAGGGCUCGAUGCCCUCUCUGUGUUUUGCAGCUUCCGGCGUGAAUUCACCUAUUCUUGAAGUAACUGGGGGACCACCCAAUCUUGGGAGGUGAAAAGUGUGUGAGUGGGGGGGUCCGUUCUAUAAGACUUUGGGAGGGGGGCGUUAAUGCCCACUUCGGCCUCUCAGGAGACUCCUAAUCAUGAUUUCCCAGAAUCCUUCAGGUGCCUCUUUGGCAUAUGAACUCUUCAGGUAACCUGAGAGAGAACAGUUUUGGCCAGGGUAGAAUCUUGUUUCGGCCCUUGCUCUGUAGCCCAAACUGAUUUUUUCUGAAAUGGCCCAAAGCCGAAUAGUUCAAGUUAUUAUUUACCACAGAAAGAUGAAGGCAAAUGCUCCGGCCGUAUUUUUGACCCGAUUUGAGGACUCUUUACAGUUACGCUUAUAACAAAAGAGCUCUUAAAUGCUUCUGAGGGUCAAGGCCACACAUUUUUAAAUGUAGAGAAAGUGAAUGUAUUGUAGAGAUAAGGGGAGCUGAAAUAUUUUUUUAAAAACCUAUUUUUAAAAUAGUAUAUUAUAUCUUGUUCCUCCCUCAUGGGACAUAUUUCCAGCUCUUGAGAGGUAUCCUCCCCCGCUUCUCCGUCACCAAUUGGGGAGGCGGGGUGGUUUGCUUUUUGGUUCCUUAAAUCCCCAAAGUUGAGAGAAUUGUGCUAAAAUACCAAAUCACAAGUCUUGGCUUCGUAUUAGGGAGGAACCAAAAAAUUGAGUUUCUAACCUCAUGGUAGCCACAAGAAGCUGGACAAUGGACAGUGAUGAUUAUUUUUUAAAUCCCAAACCAGAAGGCAAAUUGUAUAGAGCCCAAAUGUUAUUUUUGCAAUCUGAAGCUUCUAAAGACAAUCUUAAAGGCAAGUUCCCUGAAUUUGAAGGGAACGGCUGACUUUGUUGUUAUUGAAAACUUCAAGGUGGACAACUGAACACUGAAAUCCCCGGUUUUUGAGCAAAUCUCCAUGACAGUUAAAGUGAAUUUGAUCAGGAAUCAACCUGAAAAUAUGUUGCUAGGAAAUAGCAUUUUAGGCAAUAUUUUGAUCUAAUUAUUCCACUUAAACAGGGGGGAAUGAAAACUUGAAGAGGAGGCCUCCCUCUUUCGUGUGUUUUUACAUCCUGAUCCCAAAUUUGCUUACUUAAAAGUAAGUUCCAUAAAAAUCAAUGGGUCUUACUUCAAAGUAACUGUCUACAGGAUUGAGGUUUUUGCCCGUCAACCCUUGCUUUGCAGCCUGAUCUUAUGCAUGUUUACUCAGAAGAAAGUCUCAUACUCAAUGGGUUUACUUUACUUCCUGGUCAGCAUGCCUAGGAUUGCAACCUUAGCUGCAUCAUAUGAGAGCAGCAUGGAAAGAUAACUCAUCCUUAGCUACUAUGAAGAAAUCUGGUGGGACGGGGUUGCAAAACCCCGUCACUCAGAAGUGACUAAGGGCACAAUCCUAUGCAUUUUUAGACAGAAAAAGUUCCACAGCUUCCAGCAUCCCCCAGCCAAGCAUUCUGGCUCGGGCAUCCUGGGAGUUAAUAGUGCUUUUUUCUGUCUAAAGCUGCAUAGGAUUGUCCCCUAAAAGGCGCCUGUUCAUAAAUAAAUGUUUGAGCUAUUUUUCUAUUCUGCCCAAGAGGAAGAGUUCUGUGUAACUCAAAACCUUGCAUACUCCUGCACUAGCGAAAGUUGGUGAACGAUUAAAUUGCCUUACCUCCUUUAUGUCUUUUUGAUAUAAAAGGACCACAGUAGUAUUAGUUGAUGCUCAUAGUAGGGUUGCCCCUAAUUGAUGAGGAACGGGCUCCUCUGCCUUUAAUUGUUGCCCAGAAAAGAAAAUACCACCCAGAGCGGUUUCUCCCAUGGUGGGCAAAGCGUCACUGGCUGUAAUUCUUCUAUUUAUGCAACUGUUAAAAUCAUAGGAUCACGUUCCCCAAGGGGACGCCGGGGCAGCCCUAGCUAUAAGCCCAUUCGGUGAAAAAAAUUUCCCCAGAAGUCUCCAUUUAAAAACAAAGAAAAAAAUCUGUUUUUUUUUUUCCGUUUUGAAACAAAACAAAACACACAAUUCAGAUGUUUUUGGCAUCAUUACUUUAACCACAGAACCUUUGCAGGUUUGGUAAGUUAAAGAUGGGAUUUUCACACCCAAUCCCAAACCAGGCUUAUAUCCGCGCAACUUGCUGCUUCCGCAUGCCCCCGCCCCAUGCCCCUCACUGUCCAAAGCCCGUGGAUGAGAAAAUGGAGUGUAGGAAACAGUGUAAGCUAAGCUAGUGUUUCUCACCCUUCCCUUUGGUGUGUGCGUGCGUGUGUGUUAUGUGUAUGUGAGAAGGGAUGGCCAGCUUGGCCAUCAUUGGCUGAGCAAUUCCAGUUUUCCUCAGCUGGGGCCGUACCAGCCUCCACUGCCAGUUCAUCAGCUCAGUAACGACCGGGAGAGAUAAAACCUCCUCUCCACGCUUUCCUUUCCUUCCCCUUCCCUUGCUGUGCCUUUCUUGUUCUCCGAGAUCAUGCUGACAGCUCUUAUCUCAUUCGGAGAUAAGAGCAGCUCCACAGAGGAAAAGCAGCGUUGGUGCAUCACGGGUGGAGCGCCGUCUGCAGGUCUUUGGAUCCUGCCCGAUAUCCGGGGGGGGGGAUGGGGGCGCAGAAAGUGGCAGGGGAGGACAGCUGCGUUUACAAAGUUUGACUGAGCACGGAGCUUUGCAGGUAUUUCCUUGGGCCCCUACUUCGAAUCCAGCCAGGGAGGCCUUUCUUGUACAAACGUAGCUAUGCCAGUAUCACGCCUCCCCUAGCAAGGUCUGUGGGGAGGGGAAGAGAAAGCUCUCUUGCUCUUGCUCUCUCUUUUUAUUUCCUGACAAGCCGCAUUGAGAAUUGCAGUCUGAGAGGGGCAAACGCCACCCUCGCACCACUUUUGCCUCGGUCGCCAUUCACCUGUGCCUUCUUCACCUUGACAACUUCACCAGCACCAAAAGGAAAAAAUUAAAAAAAAACACAACAACCAAGAAGUUCACCCCAACCCCUGCGAUUUCUUCUGGGUUGGUGCGAGCGACUGUCAGUGGCACGGGAGAAUGGGGCUGCAGAUUUUCCUGGCUCCCCAGUUCAGGGGUCUCCCUUGUUUUCAACGAGAAAGGGGGGGUCUGGGUGCAUCCUGUUCAACUACCUCCCCGUUUCCACCACGCUUCCUCUCCCGAUGUUUGUCCUGCUCUUGCCUUAACUUCCAAGCGGUUCGGUUUGAAAAGCCCGGAGUUUGGGGCAGGGGUUGAUGAGGGGAGGGAAAUCGGGGAGUGGGGUGGGCAGCCCGCGUAGGGCACCAAGACCUACGAACACAGACUGUUGCAAUCUCACGGCGAACCACCCUCUCGCACGCAUACGCAAAGACACAAACGCACCAAUGCCAACACAAAACACGCGCAAUCUCACAAUGACGGGUCGCCAGCCGGCUCAGGCAGCUCUUUUUCAAAAGCCGCACUUGAUAACACGCACAGAACAAUAGAAACUCCAAGCCAGGUGAAGAACACAGAUGUUGCGUCUCUCCCUUCCUCUCUCCCUCUCUCUUUUUUUUUUUUGUUUAAUUGUUAUUGUUAUUAUUAUUAUUAAUAAUUAUAAUUGUUGUUUUCAUUCCCAGCCACAGGGGGUGUCUUGCUUUCCCUUCCCCUGCCAACCCGCUGUUAAUUUUUAUUUUUAAUUUUUUAAAACAUGGUUUCGUUUCGUUUCUUUUCCAGAGACUGUGGUGAAAUGAUUAUGGUGCCCUUUCAUUAUCGUUGAUGUUGCUGUUGUUACCGUAGGGGUGUAGCUUUUUAAUUUCUCGUCUGCCCGCAAAGCCUGACGCUGUGACCACUGCCACCACCCUCCUUUGAAUUUUAACCAGUCCUGCUACUUCUUAAAAAGGGCGGGGGGUUGUGUCUCUUUCUCCCCCCACUCCUGUUCCCCAAACCGCCCCCCCCCUUCCUGUUUUUACGGGGCAACUUCUCUCGUCAGUGGCAUCUAUUGUGGCCGCCGCUAAUCCUGCCACAUCUACCUCUGGGGACGUGUCAUGCAACAUUGGCACGAGGUGCUAAACUACACACACGUUGUGGUGUUCUGUCUCUAGCGGUAGUUUCUGGGCCACACUGUGGCCAUGGUGCUCUUGCCCCCCCCCUCCCGCCCCCACACAUGCCUGCGAUGUUUGCUAGCCUAUACAGGGAUUGUGGCAGCCAGCUCUCCCACAUGUGACCUCUUACUGGUGGUUGGUAACCCAUACCAAACACCAUGGUGCUUUUUCCUCUCUCUCUCUCUCUCUCACACACACACACAGACACACACACACACAGAGCCAUGGUGAUUACGAGGCUACCCGGCCUUUUUCCAGCAGCAGUUUCAAGUCUGCUUGACAGGCAGACUAUCAACAGGUUGCCAGGCAUAGACCUGAAGAGAGCACCUGCGCUGUGCAGUGGUGGCGUUUACGGGAAAAGUCAGAGGCGCCCUUUCCGGGUCUAGAUUUGGCAACCCAAGCCAGGGCUUUUUGCUGAAUGCCGGCAGGCCGCUGUUAAGAGGCCGGGGAAUCCUGUGGAAGGGUGCGGAAGGUGGCAACACUACACAACAAAACACACGCGACUCCGUCUCCAGUGGCAGCUGCUAAGCCGCUGGAGAGGCCCCGGUGCUCCGCCCCUCCCGUUUAGCGGUGGUGGUGGCUGGGCCGCACGGAGGACGUGGCCUUCCUUCCCUCUGGUAGUGGUUGCUAGACUAUCCGUGGAUGGCGCUUGGUUGCUAGGCCGCACAAAGGCUUCUUCCCGUGGUCAACGCUGGGGUGGGAAGCCACCUUGUUUGAAGGAGAGCACGUGGCCUACAUCGCAGUGCAAAGUGUGCCCCCGCGCUGUAGAGACACAACCCUCCCUCCUCCGGCCACGCUUACACACGCACAUUGCCCCCUCCCCCCAAAUGUGUGUCAUGCCAGCCAGCACUAAAUGAUGGGAUCCGUGGCUUUCAAACUGCCUUCUGAGGUAUCUCCUCGCCAGGGACUGAACUCCUUGGUGGAUUCAGUACUGGUGGGUGGAAGACACGCCGCCCGCCACUACUGACCACCUAGACGAGACACACGUGUCAGAGUAUUCUGGGCCUGUUCUGUAUCACACUGAGUUCACCUUGGGUGAUACUGGGGGGAAUCCGACAGAAACCCUGCUUAGAACAGACCCACUGAAGUGGACUUGAAUUAGUCAGGACUAACUGAAGUCAAUUUCAGUGGGUUUACUUUAAAUAGGACUUAAGGUCGGUUUUAUGCAAUGAGGCCGAAUGGCCCGGUGAGAGCCAUGCGUGAAGCGGGUGUGCGCCUUGGAACAUGGACCUAGGAUCUUUGGCAAUGUGAGGAUUCCCUGAAGGCAAUUUCUUUGAGGGGGGAAACCCACUGGGAUAAGUCGAGACUUUGCCCUUACAGAUCUGAAAAUGGAGGCCUACUGUGCCCCGAAGUGAAUUCCAGGACUGAGACUGUCAGUAGCUUCUAGGUUACUCUUAAAUUAAGAGUAGGUUCUGUGGGCCGUUUUGGAAAACUGUCAGUUGGACCCAGGUUGCUACAUGCUUUUCCUGAGGACCUACAAGAAAUACCUUCAGUGAGUUUUUCUGAUAGGAUCCUAGUUGCAGCAUUGGGGACUGCAGAAAUAAACCGCAACUAACUUGGGUCUGUCAAUAGAAUGGGAACAAUAUUCAAAGCUGGAGAUCAAGACGGAGGAGCCAAAAUCGCUCUGGAAGUUAUAUAGGCAUGAAUAGAUGUGUGCCCAAAGAGUCAAACUCGAAAGCCUUGAUGCCCUCCAGAAGUGUUGGACUGCAACUCCCAGCACCCCAGCUAUGAUAGCUGGGAAUGCUGGGAAUUGCAGUCCAACAGGUCUCAAGAGCACCAGAUUGGGAAAGGCUGGUAUAACUGGUACUGUUGUCAGCAGAGUAAAUCCAGAGCGACAUCUAGUAAGAUCAGAUUGAUGUAAAUGUGGCAUGGUCUACUCUUCCUAUCCCAGAGAAUUGGCUUGAUUUAGGAGUAACUGUGAGGCUGCGGUUCUUUUGUAGUUCGUUAAGGUGGACACGACUCAACUGGGAGAUGGCACCCAAAUGUCCAAGAGGAGGCUGCUGUUUGUUUGAACAGACGUCUUCCACCUGCCUGUUUCUCCUACCUUUUGACGGUAAGUAGGACUCCCCGUGAGAAAGACACCUGGGCAUCUGCAUAGCAACCACUUUGGAAUGGGGGACGCGGCUUCCAUAGGGAGCCUCUCUGCCCUGUUGCUCUUGAACGAUUGGAAAGUGGUGAAUCUGCAAUUCUUUGGCCAUGAUAUUCCAGGUUAAGCUCCACUUGGCCGGUAGGUCCACACCAUCUUCAAAGGGCCAUCAAAUCAGUGCUCGGACUAUCGCUAGAAGGGCUCGCUGGCUAUGACACGGGGGUGGGUGGGAAGGGCUCCUUCAAAGGGGAGCAGGUUGCUGGAGGCUCCAGUGUCUUUAAAGGCUUUAGGGAAUCUGUUUAUAUAUAAUUUUUAUAUAUAUUGUUUCCUCUACCCUCGUGUAUGGUUAAUUUUUCCUCUCUGUGGCAGGAUCAGAUAUGGCUCCUGCCGCGUCUGUAUCUAUCGCUGUUGUGAAACAUAAAAUGCGUCUGGUAACAUA